rnacentral:lncRNA from 1 species
AAGAAAUAAAAAAUUAUACAAAAGUGACACUUAAAAAAACUGAGAAGUAGUGUUUUAUGACCUUACUAUUAUAAAGUGAUCUAGAAUCAAGUGAAAGCAAUUCUAACGCUCAAACUUGAUUCUAGGUGAAGUUGGAAAUUGUAGUAUCCACAAUAAUUUCUAAAUGGUUCUAAUAUUUAUUAGUGUGUGGGACAUCUAUGAUCCAUAUUUGAUUUUUGAUGAAUUAUACAAUUGUUACAAUAAAAUUGUAUAAUGGAGUAAUUUAUAAGUGGAUUAUGUGCUACAAAAUAUACACAAUUUAUCUUAUAUGUGGACCGCUUCAAUAAAUUUAUCAUCGAUGAAUUUAUCGCUUCGAUGUAUGUAUUUAUUAUUGGCAAAAUUUUAUGUACUCUUGCAAGGACUAAAUAAAAAUAAAAAAAGACAAAA